ACCUUUGGAAGAGCAGUCAGUGCUCUUACCCGUUCAGCCAUCUCACCAGCCCUGUAUUUAGUUUUACAGACUCUACCUUCCCAUUAGCUUAGCUAUGUCUUCCCCACACAACUUAAGUAACUGAAGCUACUGAGAUGGCUACAAAUCCUCUUCUCCUUCAUUUGAGACAGAGAUUGGAAUAUGUGCUUUAAACUAGUUUCUUCUUCUGUGAAAUGAGUGUGCUAUACUUGUCCCACAGGGUGGUAUAAGGAUGAAGUAGACUGAUGCCCAGGACACCUUUAGGUGGGAAGCAGGGCAGGAUUACUACUACACACAUUGCUGUUAAUGAGCAGAACAGUAGUGAACUCAUUUAUUCAUCUUUGGUUUCCUCUCAGGGAUACUUAGAAGCUAGCCUUGUGGGGAAACAGUGCAUAUACAGGCCAUAGUUUUAGCUAAGUGAGUAGAGUUUAAGUAUAAGUAAUAUGAUAGACUCCUGUAGAUUCCUUUAGCUAACUGUGCAAAUCUAGAGGUAGAUAAAAACAAAGCCCCAUAGUGGUUAAAACCAAGAUAAUAUAUGGCUCAUCUUAAAGCAGAGACUGGACUUCAUAGCUUUUUUGUUUGUUUUUUCUUUUCUUUUCUUUUUUUUUUCCUAACUUUUUUUUGAGGGGGGAUGAUAGAUUUUUUAAGUUUCCCCUGUUUUCUUGAUAUUUGGAAUUCUGGCCUACUUCACUAUUAAUAACAGUAGAAGCAGUAGGAGAUACUGGGUUGGGAAUUUGAAGUUGGCUUGAGUUUGAGUCUUGGCUUUGCUGUUGACAUUGUACAUGUGUUUGGUAAAGUGACAUAAACUGCAUCUAAGUUCUGACUGGUAGGUGCUUGGAGACUCAGAUGCCAUCCUUGUGAUGAGGCUUUAGAAGUGCUAAGUGCUCACCAGAGACAGGAGGUCUCUUCUUAGUUUUAAGCUCAGUUUUGUUUACCUUAUUUUCUAAAAGCAAAGUCUUGAUGUUUUAUGAGACACUAUUGAAAAAUAUCCCACUAAUAAUAGCUCUAUAGCCAAAGGUAUUUUGCUAGUCCCUCUUCCCCCAAUUGUGUAGAUUUUUAGACAUUCCCCAAAUAGGAAAUGGUUCCUGUACAAGUGUUACUUGUAGCUAGAUCUUCUGCUUCAUCUCUGCUCAAACAAGCCACCUCCCUUAAACUUGAGACUAACUUCACCUGGUUUUAAAUAAUUUGCAUUGUAUCUGCAUUUAUGCAUGCAGUUUUCAGUGUAAAUUUUGUUUGAGUGUUUUGGAAAUCAUUUUAUGCUUUUAUAUGUGACUUGGUCUUACUUUACUUUCUCAUCUGGCAUUGAAUAGUCCAAAGGGUAAAAAUACUGGUUCUCCCUUCUCCACACAUCUGUGAUAGAGUCCAUUGUUCACGUGGCAUUUUGUUGACAGUGGUUGAGUGACUUGCACUUGGACAUACAUCUGCAACAGUUCCAGAUGUUUAGUGUACAUCUGGAGUUGCAGACAGGUGUCAAAACAGGACUUGCUUAGAGAUUUGGUGCUUACACUGCCACUGUGUAUUUUAGCAUAGUCCCAACCAUUUUUUCCCCAAGAAAUUUUGCUGUUCAUGUUUCGCUGAAGGAAUUUAGUAGGCCGUUAUUAUUUGAAUUUUUAAUAUUUGCAUAAUUGUGUCAUUUGGGUAGUAAUAACAAUUUUUAAAGACUGAGGAAAGAGCUGUUCAAGAGUCUCAGUUCUGGUAGUUUUCAUGAUUUCAUUAAACUAAUUUGUUAAUCUCGGGUGAUUCUUACAGUAGUGUUAGGAGAAGUCUGUGUUGUCAAAGAGAAGUCUGUUGCUGAUUUCAUUUGGAAGUGACUGUAGUUAAGAAAAAGAAACUUCUUUGCACUUGCUUUAAAACAAGAGUUUUUUUCCUUUGCACUUAAAAUGGAUGUUUCUUUCACAUGAGUGUUUGCAUUUAUUUUCCAGUUUUUUUCCCCCUUUAAAACCAGUCUGCUAUUCCGCUAAGACCCUGUUUUGCAUCUUCCCCAGGAAUGUCACUGUCUGCUGGAUCUUCCCCUCUCCAUUCCCCCAAAAUUACUCCACACACCUCUCCUGCUCCUAGAAGAAGAAGCCACACUCCAAACCCAGCAAGUUUCAUGGUGCCGCCUAGUGCCUCCACUCCUGCCAAUAACCCUGCUCCUCAGCCUCCGUCCUCUGGUCAGGUGAUCCAGAAGGAGACUGUCGGGGGGACGACUUACUUCUAUACAGAUACAACCCCAGCACCUUUGACUGGAAUGGUAUGGCUUCUGAUAAAGAGGGAAUCAGUGCUCUUAGAAAAGCUGCUCCUUAACUAAUGAGGUCACCCCCCACCCUCCCACUCCCUCCCACACACCGGAAGGGAUUUAGGGACAUGAAAAAGUAUUUUACUUUUUAACUUACUCUCAUAUCUUUAAAUUGUUAUGAUCCUUCCUUCCUAAUUUCACUCAGAAAUCAGAUGUAGUUGUACUUUGUUUUAGUGUGCUGGGGGCAGAAGGGUCACCUCGUCAGGACGUAGCUAGCUAAAGUUGGUGUUCUCUGGCUUUUGUUUCUAGCUACUGGGUAGGCAAGUUUACCUUUGGGAAGAAGUUGAAGAAAGUAGGCUGUAUAUUAAUUAUUGAAAGCAAGUUGAUGAGCCAUGUUGACUCAGAUACAGCUGUGCUGUGAAGGGCAGAGCUCUAGGUUGCAGAAUGGCAUGCAAUGGUAAAGGCUGUAGUGUAUCUUGCAGGAGGGGAAGGUUUCAGACAAGGGGGAGCCAUGAUUGUGAGUAGCCAAAUGACUAGUGAUGGGGAGAGUAUACUGGGGGAUAGAUUUUCUUACAAAGAUGACGAGGAGAAGAACAUGUUCAGCAGACGUGUCCAUGUCUCAGAGUGCAUUCCCAAUGCUAGAACAGUGUGUGUGUGUGGGGGGGGGGGAGCUUGGUGUUACUUAGUGCCUCUCUUUGGCCCCACUGUUUUGUCUACAUUAAAGAAAAAAACUAAAUAAAUUAGUAAAUAGCUCUCGGGUAAGAAAACCAAAUCCCAUUAAAAUGAUGGAAGCUUAAAUUAUAAACAUCUGAGUGCGUUUCAAUGAGCACAAUUUGACUGUCACACUAAAGUAAAUUUAAUAUUUUGCAGAAGAUCUUUUUGAGUGACAGGAAUACAGGUUUGUCUUUUUUGUAAAGCUUAGUCCUGCUGUGUUUUGUACACUAAAGUCUUUGUACUUUUGAGAGAGUUUUAUUUGACACAUGAGAAGAGUAGUGACCCACUGCCCUGUAGAAAUAAAUGUGGAAACCUGUAAGACCUGUACAGACUUCAGGGAACCAUUGGGGAGGUCUUCUGCUCUGCUUUGCUUUGUUUUGGGUAGUAUGACGUCAUAAACCUGUGAACAGUGACCAUGGUCAGAUGAUCAAGGUAGAGACUUGUUCCUUUCAAGCCAAAUCUUACCAGUUUAAUAAUUUUUAGUAAUUCAAAAAAAAAUUGUAGAAAGAAGAAAUUGCACUUAACUAUGUAGAGAUUUGUUUGUCACAGAAAUGCCUCUGCUGUUUGUAGAGAUCAGUAUAUUUUAUAAUGUUUUCAGUCUUUAGGCCAUGUUUAUUUUUUUAUUUUUUGCAAACCUGAGAUAGUUAACUGUUUGAUAGAAGGAAGCCAAGCAAGACAAAGGCAUUUUUACUUUCUGCAGGCCAGGUUGUAUAGUUUCAUAAAAAAGUACUUUCUAGUUGCAUUCCACAGCAGGUGAAUGUCUGAGGACAACAAAAAAAAACAGCUAAAGUUAUUUCUG
rnacentral:lncRNA from 1 species